AAAACAGUUUUCACACAUCACACCUAAAGCUAAGCGAAUCCCAAUGAUGACCGAUCUAGUUGGAGAAGGGCUCCGCAGCUGUCUCUCAUCCAACAAACUGGCAGCUCUACGCCUCGCCUCAGGUGACCGAGGACAAACACCUCGACGUGAAUCAGAAACACGAGAUUCCUAAGAAAUAUUUAAUUUUUACUACAAUAUAGGAGCAAUUAUCUAAGAAAUAUAUUUUUAACAUUUGAA